UUGGUGGCGACCGGCGCACGGGUGAGUAACGCGUAUGCAACCUACCUAUCAGAGGGGAAUAACCCGGCGAAAGUCGGACUAAUACCGCAUAAAACAGGGACACCGCAUGGUGAUAUUUGUUAAAGAAAUUCGCUGAUAGAUGGGCAUGCGUUCCAUUAGGUAGUUGGUGAGGUAACGGCUCACCAAGCCGACGAUGGAUAGGGGAACUGAGAGGUUGGUCCCCCACACUGGUACUGAGACACGGACCAGACUCCUACGGGAGGCAGCAGUGAGGAAUAUUGGUCAAUGGGCGAGAGCCUGAACCAGCCAAGUCGCGUGAAGGAAGAAGGAUCUAUGGUUCGUAAACUUCUUUUGCAGGGGAAUAAAGUGCAGGACGUGUCCUGUUUUGUAUGUACCCUGAGAAUAAGGAUCGGCUAACUCCGUGCCAGCAGCCGCGGUAAUACGGAGGAUCCGAGCGUUAUCCGGAUUUAUUGGGUUUAAAGGGUGCGUAGGUGGUUUGAUAAGUCAGCGGUGAAAGUUUGCAGCUUAACUGUAAAAAUGCCGUUGAAACUGUCGGACUUGAGUGUAAAUGAGGUAGGCGGAAUGCGUGGUGUAGCGGUGAAAUGCUUAGAUAUCACGAAGAACUCCGAUUG
rnacentral:rRNA from 2 species